rnacentral:rRNA from 1 species
ACUGCUUGGCGAUUGAGAGUUUCUAGUGGGCCAUUUUUGGUAAGCAGAACUGGCGAUGCGGGAUGAACCGAACGCGAGGUUAAGGUGCCGGAAUUCACGCUCAUCAGACACCACAAAAGGUGUUAGUUCAUCUAGACAGCAGGACGGUGGCCAUGGAAGUCGGAAUCCGCUAAGGAGUGUGUAACAACUCACCUGCCGAAUGAACUAGCCCUGAAAAUGGAUGGCGCUUAAGCGUGAUACCCAUACCUCGCCGUCAGCGUUAAAGUGACGCGCUGACGAGUAGGCAGGCGUGGAGGUCA